rnacentral:rRNA from 1 species
UACGAAGGGUGCAAACGUUGCUCGGAUUUAUUGGGCGUAAAGAGCGUGUAGGCGGCCAGACAGGUCAGCUGUGAAAACUCGAGGCUCAACCUCGAGACGUCGGUUGAAACCGUCUGGCUAGAGUCCGGAAGAGGAGAGUGGAAUUCCCGGUGUAGCGGUGAAAUGCGCAGAUAUCGGGAAGAACACCCGUGGCGAAGGCGGCUAUCUGGACGGGUACUGACGCUGAGACGCGAAAGCGUGGGGAGCAAACAGG